GUGGAUUAGAUACCCUGGUAGUCCUGGCAGUAAACGGUGCGCGUUUGGUGUGGGAGGAUUCGACCCCUUCCGUGCCGGAGCUAACGCGUUAAACGCGCCGCCUGGGGAGUACGGUCGCAAGAUUAAAACUCAAAGAAAUUGACGGGGGCCCGCACAAGCGGUGGAGUAUGUGGCUUAAUUCGAUGCAACGCGAAGAACCUUACCUAGCCUUGACAUGCAUCUCUAAGUCGGUGAAAGCCGGCGAGUCUAGCAAUAGACAAUUUGCACAGGUGCUGCACGGUUGUCGCCAGCU
rnacentral:rRNA from 1 species